rnacentral:rRNA from 1 species
ACUCAAAUGAAUAGACGGGGGCCCGCACAAGCGGUGGAGCAUGUGGUUUAAUUCGACGCAACGCGAAGAACCUUACCUGGGCUAGACAACGGUGGACCGCUCCAGAGAUGGAGUUUUCCCUUCGGGGACUGCCGGUUCAGGUGCUGCAUGGCUGUCGUCAGCUCGUGUCGUGAGAUGUUGGGUUAAGUCCCGCAACGAGCGCAACCCUUGCCUCUAGUUGCCAGCAUUCGGUUGGGCACUCUAGAGGGACUGCCGGCGUUAAGCCGGAGGAAGGUGGGGAUGACGUCAAGUCCUCAUGGCCCUUAUGUCCAGGGCUACACACGUGCUACAAUGGCUGGUACAAAGGGCUGCCUAACCGCAAGGUGAAGCCAAUCCCAUAAAGCCGGCCUCAGUUCGGAUUGGAGUCUGCAACUCGACUCCAUGAAGGUGGAAUCGCUAGUAAUCGCGGAUCAGCACGCCGCGGUGAAUACGUUCCCGGGCCUUGUACACACCGCCCGU